GAGGGUGUAGCUCAGCUGGUUAGAGCGCUUGACUGUGGAUCAAGAGGUCGGGAGUUCAAAUCUCCUCUCCCUCCCCA
rnacentral:tRNA from 1 species